rnacentral:rRNA from 1 species
CUACAAUGGGCGGUACAAAGGGUCGCGAACCCGCAAGGGGGAGCCAAUCCCAAAAAGCCGCUCUCAGUUCGGAUGUCGAGGCUGCAACUCGCCUGCAUGAAGCCGGAAUCGCUAGUAAUCGCGGAUCAGCAUGCCGCGGUGAAUACGUUCCCGGGCCUU